GGGGUAUAGCUCAGCUGGGAGAGCGCUUGCAUGGCAUGCAAGAGGUCGUCGGUUCGAUCCCGAUAGGCUCCA
rnacentral:tRNA from 1 species